UACGGGGGGUGCGAGCGUUGUCCGGAAUCACUGGGCGUAAAGGGCGCGUAGGUGGCGUGAUAAGGGUGUGGUGAAAGCCCGGGGCUCAACCCCGGGUCUGCCAUGCCGACUGUCAGGCUAGAGUACUGUAGGGGCAGGCGGAAUUCCUGGUGUAGCGGUGAAAUGCGCAGAUAUCAGGAGGAACACCGGUGGCGAAGGCGGGUCUCUGGGCCGAUACUGACGCUGAGGAGCGAAAGCGUGGGGAGCGAACAGG
rnacentral:rRNA from 1 species